rnacentral:tRNA from 1 species
GCCUGGUUAGCUCAGUUGGUAGAGCAUGUGACUCUUAAUCUCAGGGUUGUGGGUUCAGGCCCUGAGUUGGGCG